UUUAGGCCUAGGGGGUGGCACGUGUGCUAAUGUCAUGUUUUCCGAACUUGGAAAAAGUUUUUUUGGGCGUAGCUCCUGAUCUGUUGUAAAUCAAAUAGGCAUACUAAGAAUGAAUAGAAAAGAUGCCAAUGUAUUCUAUUAUUAAUAUUCAAACCAGCUGAGCUCAAACCUGAAUUACUGAGACUGAACCAACAAAUCCUAUAGACCAAACCAGAUUCCUCUUGCUCAAGCCGAGAAGAACAUCCUUGAAAAAAAUAGCAGUGUGGGCCGUGGAGGUUGAUAUCGUCGUUUUGUUAGCCAUGGUUUUCUUUGUUUCUUUUGUAACGUGUAUUUGCGUAAGAGAUAAGUGAGAGAACUGACUGGGUUUUAUGGUGCGAAGAUGAAGGAAGUGGAGAGAUUAGUUCCGCUUCGAUUAGAAGCGCAAUAAUGAAGCUUAGUCGUGGAGAAGAGCGUUAUACCAUAGAAUCUGAGCAGGAGAUAAUAUUAAGGUUUUGCCUACUGGUGGAGAUGAGGGAGAUCAAG
rnacentral:lncRNA from 1 species